rnacentral:rRNA from 1 species
AUUGCACAAUGGGCGAAAGCCUGAGCAGCGACGCCGCGUGAGGGAUGACGGCCUUCGGGUUGUAAACCUCUUUCAGCAGGGACGAAGCGAAAGUGACGGUACCUGCAGAAGAAGCACCGGCCAACUACGUGCCAGCAGCCGCGGUAAUGUAGGGGGGUGCAAGCGUUGUCCGGAAUUACUGGGCGUAAAGAGCUCGUAGGCGGUUUGUCGC